CAGCUUCCUCUGUCUCCUUCAUAGCCCUCAGCUCCUGCUUGAAGCCUUCCUUCUCGCAAGCUUGGACCACUUCCGGUGGUUCGCAUCGUUCGGCGCCACGCAGCUUUCAUACGUGUCCUCGACGAAUACUUGAAGACGGAGCACUUCCUCGGAACAAACGGAAUCGCGGAACACCGUUUCUAGAAGCUCGUUCGCGUAACUUUCCAAUUCCGCGGCUCUAGCUUCGAGUUUGCGAAUGGUAUCCUGAAUUUAUCAUCCGGACUGAAUCGUCACCAUCAAUUCAGACAUCGGCUUUGCCAGAGACUCCAAGUGAAUCAACGCGUUCAGAUUUUGCGUUUCUAUCGCUCUGAACACGUAGAUCAGUUCAAAUGGGUCUUCGAAGUAUAUAUUUGUCGGACCUGCCUUGUUAAUGUCUUGCUCGAACAAGUCUAAAAAUACGAAGCAAUAAUUUUCAGCACUUCGAUGCGAAGAAUGCAAAUAUUCUAACUAACGAUUUGUCCGCUAAAUAUUAUAUUGUUUGUUAAAUAUUACUACUAAAUCCUUCUCACUACAAAAUUGCAAUUAACGAUUGGGAUAUUUUACACAUCUUUGCAUAUUCUGUCGCAUUUUUCCAUAUUGUCGUUUAGGAUUGUCUACAAUUGUACAAACGUCCGCGAUCUAGUCAAAGCUGAGAAACGUUCUUGAAGAUUAUUCCAAGACUCCUUUCGCAACGAUGAACGAAAAAUAAAUCUCGAAGAGGAAAAGGUAAGUUUAAAGGUA